UACGAAGGGGGCUAGCGUUGCUCGGAAUCACUGGGCGUAAAGGGCUCGUAGGCGCCAACUAAGUCAGACGUGAAAUCCCUCGGCUUAACCGGGGAACUGCGUCUGAUACUGGAUGGCUUGAGAUUGGGAGAGGGAUGCGGAAUUCCUGGUGUAGCGGUGAAAUGCGCAGAUAUCAGGAGGAACACCAAUGGCGAAGGCAGCACUCUGGGACGUGACUGACGCUGAGACGCGAAAGCGUGGGGAGCAAACAGG
rnacentral:rRNA from 1 species